rnacentral:misc_RNA from 1 species
AUCCAUCUUCCUAGAGUAUUGCACGUAUGUGGACUUUGCUUUUGCUGGAAAAAAAUGUUUUAUAUUGCUAAAGUUCCUUGAAAAUUAUAUUAUCUUGCAGAAAAUUCAAUACACUAGCCAUAUAUAUUCAAUAUUUUAGUUUCUAAGGAAUUCAAACUAAUCUGCAUUUUUUAAAAAGUUUUGAUAAACUGGAGGGGAUGGGCGCGGGGAAGGGAAGGGUAGGAUAAAGGGUUGAGGAGUAGACUUACCGUUAGAAUUCAAUAGCAGACUCAGUCAGAGGACAAUAACCACCAACUCAGUUCAUUCCAAAACCUUGGGUUCAAAACUUCUUUCGAUUUAGACUUCCUUUCUUCCUUUCUUCUAAGAAUAAUUGAUAAAUGUGGCCCAUGCAUUGGUUGUGUAGUUUCAUUACAUUCUCGGUUUGAUCUACUCAUGUUACUCUUUAUAUCAUGUGAAGUUUAACAGUAGUGAAAUUUUCAUGUAAGCAUAUAUGUAUUCUUUUAAAGGUAGAAUCGGGUAGGGCUAAGCAGAAAAUGUUUGUAAUCAAAAGACUGAAAAAAAUUUGUUCUAAUUCAGUUUAGUUUUUUUUUUUUUUUUU